rnacentral:rRNA from 1 species
AAACAUGCAGUCGAGCGGUAAGGCCCUUCGGGGUACACGAGCGGCGAACGGGUGAGUAACACGUGGGUGAUCUGCCUCGCACUCUGGGAUAAGCCUGGGAAACUGGGUCUAAUACCGGAUAUGACCUUACAUCGCAUGGUGUUUGGUGGAAAGAUUUAUCGGUGCGAGAUGGGCCCGCGGCCUAUCAGCUUGUUGGUGGGGUAAUGGCCUACCAAGGCGACGACGGGUAGCCGGCCUGAGAGGGCGACCGGCCACACUGGGACUGAGACACGGCCCAGACUCCUACGGGAGGCAGCAGUGGGGAAUAUUGCACAAUGGGCGAAAGCCUGAUGCAGCGACGCCGCGUGAGGGAUGACGGCCUUCGGGUUGUAAACCUCUUUCGACAGGGACGAAGCGCAAGUGACGGUACCUGUAGAAGAAGCACCGGCCAACUACGUGCCAGCAGCCGCGGUAAUACGUAGGGUGCGAGCGUUGUCCGGAAUUACUGGGCGUAAAGAGCUUGUAGGCGGCUUGUCGCGUCGAUCGUGAAAACUUGGGGCUCAACCCCAAGCUUGCGGUCGAUACGGGCAGGCUUGAGUACUUCAGGGGAGACUGGAAUUCCUGGUGUAGCGGUGAAAUGCGCAGAUAUCAGGAGGAACACCGGUGGCGAAGGCGGGUCUCUGGGAAGUAACUGACGCUGAGAAGCGAAAGCGUGGGUAGCGAACAGGAUUAGAUACCCUGGUAGUCCACGCCGUAAACGGUGGGUACUAGGUGUGGGUUUCCUUCCACGGGAUCCGUGCCGUAGCUAACGCAUUAAGUACCCCGCCUGGGGAGUACGGCCGCAAGGCUAAAACUCAAGGAAUUGACGGGGGCCCGCACAAGCGGCGGAGCAUGUGGAUUAAUUCGAUGCAACGCGAGAACCUUACCUGGGUUUGACAUACACCGGGAACCUGCAGAGAUGUAGCUCCUGCUUCGGGUGUGAUGAUGUAGUAAGAGAAAAAAAA